GAGCACCUAUUAUGGGAUACACGUUUUUAAACAUCAUUUUGUGUGUAAGUGUGUAUUAGUACAUGCUAACGAUAUUCAAAAAGUACAUACCUCAAAGAAAACGAUGACGCGAGUUAUCGUCUCUAACGUUCGAGGACUACAAAAAACACUCGGAUUGUAGGCAACAGUUUACUUCCUGGGAUUAGUGACGUAGAUAAGACCAACAUUAUCAUAGUUCAGCCCUCUCUGCUUUGCUUGGGUACGCCCUCAAAGACGAGGGUGGGGUGGGGAGCGCCGAGUCAGAAGAGAGCUAAAAUGGCGGAGGUUGGGAGUCCCUGCUGUGACUCUGUUUGCAAACUCUUGUUUCAUUGUUUAAGCGAUUAAAUCUCUCGAGUAGACGCUGUCUCUUUAGAUGCGAGGCCAAAAUAGCACUUUAUGGACUUACACAGAGGACAUCAUGUUUAAUACGGUUCCGGAAAAAUCCAGUCAGAAGUUGUUCACGGAGUUUUCACAAUAACUGCUUCUCAUGAACCGAAGCUGGACGUCUCCUUCUGAAAGUUGGAUUACUGUGCACUUCUGGAUCACAGGCUAUUCGCAGCUGGACACAUCCUUCUACACUGUAUGCAAACAUGCAACAUCAUAACACAUAGUACAAGGAGUCAGACUGGCAUAUGAGGAGCAAAGGAACCCAGACAGUAGCAUCGUUUCACAAUGUUUCCAUCACCAUCAUCAGUGGAUGCCUUUGCCGUCCGUAGCCUGAGAUUUCAGAUUUGCAGCAAAAAAAAUUGAUUUUCUCAUUUAUUGGAAUGCUAUGCAGGUUGUACCUUGCAGCCAUCCAUUACAAUGUCACCAAGCCGUAACAAAAGCAGGAGAGGGAAAGUACAAGGCUAUGUUCCCAAAACACACAAAUGACAUACCUUAUGUGGAUGAUGUGAUCAGGCUUGUGUUUGAUGAGGUAUUUGAAGAUAAGCUGAAGGAAACCCCGAUUCCAAUGGACCUGGCAUCACAGUUUGAGAGACCUUCAAAGGAGGACGUGAUUGCAUGCCAUCUUCAGUG